UCUUAAAGACUGGACUUCAUCUCUGGCUUUUUGGUCAUCCUUCUCCUUCUGGUCUGAUUUUCUUUGGAGGUCAUCUUUCAUUCUCUUUACCUCAUCCCUCAUCUCCUUUGCCUCACCUUUCAUCUCCUUUGCCUCACCUUUCAUCUUCUUUGCCUCAUCUUUAAUCUCCUUUUCCUCAUUUUCAAGCUGAUUGAUUUUGGCUUUCAAGACACUAUUUUCUGUUUCCAGAUGACUUAUCUUAGUUUUCAAAUUCUUGUCCCAAUUGUCUUAAGCCUCUCUUAAUUGUGUUUUGAACUGCAUUUUGAGUUCUUCCAAAGCCUGUGUCCAAUUCGCUGGUAUUUCUGUUUAAUUACUUGUGUCCUCCUGUGUAUUGUUUGUUAUUGGUUUGUUGCCUGUGCAGAAGCUGUCAAUUGUAAUUUAUUUCUUCUUUUCCUGUUGUUUGCUUAUAUUUACCCCUUCUUUGCUCCCCGUAUUUGUCUGUGAUCUUGCUCCUCAUUUUUUUUUGGUUUUGGGGCUUUCUGUCAGUCUCCCCUCUUGGAGCUUUGUCAGAUCUCUCAGUGCAGUCUCUGGGGGAGGAGUGUUGGAAUUUGCUCUUCCCUGUCCUCUGGAGGCUUUUGAUUGGAUUAAAGUCCAGCAGUCUGUGAGGGAGUGGUGUUACAGCCUAAGGCUUCUCUUGAGUUCUGAAGACUUUUGAUGAGAUUAAGUUCAGCUGGGUAGGCUAGGUGUGCUCUGAGACUAAAAAUAUCCUGGAAGGCUGGAGCAGUAUGGAAGAUCUCCAUGGCUCUGACCAGGCUGCCAGCUCCCUCUCCAGCUCCUUCACCGCCAUCUGUGCUUGACAAUCCAAGCUUGGCACUGCCCUGCCUCAAGGCUUGAACUCUUACAAACAUUGUUGUGUGGAACUUGAAACAAGACCAGUUCACUUCCUAGCAGAGAGCUGGCUGCUGACACCAUGCUUACUGGAUAUGACAAAGAGAUGACAAGAACUGGGACAUGGCCACAGAAGCUUGUUGGGAAACUUAUGAUGUCUUAUCAGCUUUCUAGGUGCAGGCUUGAUAUUUGUCAUUGUGCUACCCAAUCAAUAUGCCAGAUGGGUUCUUGGGAAUAAAUAAACCUCCAUUCCCAAAGA